CUUAAUACAUGCAAGUCGUGGGGCAGCAGGUUUGUAGCAAUACAGAUGCUGGCGACCGGCAAACGGGUGCGGAACACGUACAGAACCUUCCUUUGAGCGGGGAAUAGCCCAGAGAAAUUUGGAUUAAUACCCCAUAGUAUAAUGAAGUGGCAUCACUUUAUUAUUAAAGAUUUAUCACUCGAAGAUGGCUGUGCGGCUGAUUAGGUAGUUGGCGGGGUAAAGGCCCACCAAGCCUGCGAUCAGUAACUGGUGUGAGAGCACGACCAGUCACACGGGCACUGAGACACGGGCCCGACUCCUACGGGAGGCAGCAGUAAGGAAUAUUGGUCAAUGGAGGCAACUCUGAACCAGCCAUGCCCGCGUGGAGGAUGAAGGUCCUCUGGAUUGUAAACUUCUUUUAUAUGGGACGAAAAAAGGCUUUUCUAAGUCGUCUGACGGUACCAUAUGAAUAAGCACCGGCUAACUCCGUG
rnacentral:rRNA from 1 species